rnacentral:misc_RNA from 1 species
AUAUAUACCAAACCUUCUUAUUGAAUGGUUUGGAUGUGGGGGCUUGCUGGCAUCUUAUUAAAGGGUUCAGCUCCCCUGAAAUGCAUUAGCAGAACAGCCUGUUCAUUGGUGUGAUAACUAUCUAUGCUAUUGAAUGAGGUGCAGUUCGGCUUUCUAACUGUCCUUGGACAAUUUAUCAUUU